rnacentral:rRNA from 1 species
GAUAAACGCUAGCGGCAGGCUUAAUACAUGCAAGUCGAGGGGUAGCAAGAUUGUAGCAAUACAAUUGUUGACGACCGGCAAACGGGUGCGGAACACGUACACAACCUUCCUACAAGUGGAGAAUAGCCCAGAGAAAUUUGGAUUAAUACCCCGUAACAUAGCGAUGUGGCAUCACAUUGCUAUUAUAGCUUCGGCGCUUGUUGAUGGGUGUGCGGCUGAUUAGAUAGUUGGCGGGGUAACGGCCCACCAAGUCUACGAUCAGUAGCUGAUGUGCGAGCAUGAUCAGCCACACGGGCACUGAGACACGGGCCCGACUCCUACGGGAGGCAGCAGUAAGGAAUAUUGGACAAUGGACGCAAGUCUGAUCCAGCCAUGCCGCGUGAAGGAUUAAGGUCCUCUGGAUUGUAAACUUCUUUUAUAAGGGACGAAAAAAGGUCUUUCUAGAUCGUCUGACGGUACCUUAUGAAUAAGCACCGGCUAACUCCGUGCCAGCAGCCGAGUAAAAC